rnacentral:rRNA from 1 species
UGCCAGCAGCCGCGGUAAUACGAAGGGCCCGAGCGUUGAUCGGAAUUACUGGGCUUAAAGGGUGCGCAGGCGGACUCGUUAGUGUCUUGUGAGAUCCCACGGCUCAACCGUGGAACUGCAGGGCAUACUGCGAGUCUUGAGGUAGGUAGGGGCAAUCGGAACUCUAGGUGUAGCGGUGAAAUGCGUAGAUAUCUAGAGGAACGCCAAAGGUGAAGACAGAUUGCUGGGCCUAUCCUGACGCUCAGGCACGAAAGCGUGGGUAGCGAAGAGGAUUAGAUA